GACGAACGCUGGCGGCGUGCUUAACACAUGCAAGUCGAACGGAAAGGCCCUGCUUUUGUGGGGUGCUCGAGUGGCGAACGGGUGAGUAACACGUGAGUAACCUGCCCUUGACUUUGGGAUAACUUCAGGAAACUGGGGCUAAUACCGGAUAGGAGCUCCUGCUGCAUGGUGGGGGUUGGAAAGUUUCGGCGGUUGGGGAUGGACUCGCGGCUUAUCAGCUUGUUGGUGGGGUAGUGGCUUACCAAGGCUUUGACGGGUAGCCGGCCUGAGAGGGUGACCGGCCACAUUGGGACUGAGAUACAGCCCAGACGCCUACGGGAGGCAGCAGUGGGGAAUAUUGCACAAUGGGCGGAAGCCUGAUGCAGCAACGCCGCGUGCGGGAUGACGGCCUUCGGGUUGUAAACCGCUUUCGCCUGUGACGAAGCGUGAGUGACGGUAAUGGGUAAAGAAGCACCGGCUAACUACGU
rnacentral:rRNA from 1 species